AUUGAACGCUGGCGGCAGGCAUAACACAUGCAAGUCGAGCGAGCGGAGGACGGGUGAGUAAUGUCUGGGAAACUGCCUGAUGGAGGGGGGUAAAUACUGGAAACGGUAGCUAAUAACGCAUACCAUCAGAUGUGCCCAGAUGGGAUUGGCUAGUAGGUGGGGUAACGGCUCACCUAGGCGAGAAUCCCUAGCUGGUCUGAGAGGAUGACCAGCCACACUGGAACUUAGACACGGUCCAGACGCCUACGGGAGGCAGCAGUGGGGAAUAUUGCACAAGGGGCGCAAGCCUGAUGCAGCCAUGCCGCGUGUGUGAAGAAGGCCUUCGGGUUGUAAAGCACUUUCAGCGGGGAGGCGUUACCCGCAGAAUAAGCACCGGCUAACUCCGUGCCAGCAGCCGCGGUAAUUC
rnacentral:rRNA from 1 species